rnacentral:ncRNA from 1 species
AUAAAAGCGAUGAAGGUGAGGGGUAUGUGCGUAGGCUUAAGAGAGCCGGUGGUUGGUGCAAACCGGUGCCGAGGCGCAUAUUAGAUCGCUCUGGAGCUGUAUAGCUGAACGGCGGUAAGCUUAUUAGGCUAUACCGGGAUUACCCGUUACAGGUCAAGUUGUAUAACUUGGUGAGGCUAUUGCCGUGAGGUAAUAGCGAAAACAGGUGGUACCGCGUGGAGGAAAUCCCCGCCCUGUGC